AGGGUGAACUGUAUCUUUGGAAAUACCCUAAGGUCAUUUGGAUUCAACCCUGAAAUACAAGCUCUGUUUCUUUCGAUGUGCACAAUUUCUGCAUUCAAAGAAACCACGAGGAAGUUGGAACUGGGCCAACGAGAGGGUUCUGUAAAACGACGCUGCGCUCCUUAGGGCACCGCGGUACUGACCUUGGAGCCCACCUAGCCGUGCCACGCAGCCCAUUCCUCUCUGUCCCGUACAUGUUUGGACAAACGCCCUGUUGAAAUCAGAGUGGAGGGAUUACGGCACUUCUUUGCUCCUCUGCUGCGUUCCAGGCACUGUUCUGGUGCCGGGCAACAGAGAGGCACAGGCCCUGCCUCUGAACGCCGCUGGGUCCCACUCAUCUUCCUUCUGCCUCGUGGACAGUUCGCAAGUGACCUCCCCCUGGAACUCUGGAGCCACUUUAGCAGAAGAGGGAGGCAGCUGUCCUUCUAAGGGGCCUUCUGUCGUGCUUACAGUACAGACAACAACAUGGGCCUGGUGUCUCUGUGACCCAGGAGCCCCUCCCCAGGCAGCGCCUGCCCUCGCCCUGGCUCAGGCCCCAAGGACCACCUGCCUCUGGCCUGUAUCUAGGGCCACGCCAGUGACAUCUCCAAGCCUCCGUGUUCUCACCUGUCACAUGGUGACAUCACACCUGGCUUUCCUGCCCUCUGACUGAGCAAGUGAAAUCCCCAGUAAAAGGGGGUGAUGCAAACACCCCCUGGGUCAGAACCAGGAGAAUCUGCUGGGUCGUCCCGGGACCAAAGACGAACACGGUGACGAAGAAACUGAUGCCAAGGUGGCGCAUCGCACUCGGAGGUGAGGGGUGGCAGCUUCUCCUGGAUUUUGCUUCCAUUUGUACAAAAAGAGAAAACCGUUUUUUUUUUUUUCUUUUUUCCGGCCAAGAAUCCCGUUCCUCACAGCAGGAGUUAGAAGAACAGCAC